AAGUCGUAACAAGGUCUCCGUUGGUGAACCAGCGGAGGGAUCAUUAUAGAGUUAUUAAAACUCCCAAACCCAUGUGAACUUACCAAUGUUGCCUCGGCGGUACCUACCCUGUAGCUACCCUGGAACGGUGUUACCCUAUAGCGCCUACCCAGAAGCCACCCUGUAGCGUACCGCCGGUGGAUUUUAAACUAUUAUUUAAUGUUAUCUGAGCGUCUUAUUUUAAUAAGUCAAAACUUUCAACAACGGAUCUCUUGGUUCUG
rnacentral:misc_RNA from 1 species